AGUCCAGACUCCUACGGGAGGCAGCAGUGGGGGAUAUUGCACAAUGGGGGGAACCCUGAUGCAGCGACGCCGCGUGGGUGAAGAAGCGCCUCGGCGCGUAAAGCCCUGUCAGCAGGGAAGAAAAUGACGGUACCUGAAGAAGAAGCCCCGGCUAACUACGUGCCAGCAGCCGCGGUAAUACGUAGGGGGCAAGCGUUAUCCGGAUUUACUGGGUGUAAAGGGAGCGUAGACGGCGGCGCAAGUCCGGAGUGAAAGCCCACGGCCCAACCGUGGGACUGCUCUGGAAACUGUGCGGCUUGAGUGCGGGAGGGGCAGGCGGAAUUCCUAGUGUAGCGGUGAAAUGCGUAGAUGUUAGGAGGAACACCAGUGGCGAAGGCGGCUUACUGGACGGCAACUGACGCUGAGGCUCGAAAGCGUGGGGAGCAAACAGGAUUAGAUACCCCGGUAAU
rnacentral:rRNA from 1 species